rnacentral:rRNA from 1 species
AACAGGAUUCCUCAGUAACGAGUGAAGCGGGACCCACCCCAAUCCCCCCGGCUGAGACGCCGGCGGGAACUGUGGUGUUCGGGACGACCCACGCCCGUCGGGCGGACACUCCUCUGAUAGGGGUUUCUCCCAGAGCGGGUGUGAGGCCUCUGCGGCUCCGGUCGGGAGCCGGGGAGUCGGAGUCGGGUUGGUUGAUAUUGCCCCAAAGCUGGUGGAUACUUCAUCUGCUGUGACUGCCGGCACUAGUAUAAUAACCAACUACUGCCGUGAAGGGUAGUUGAAAGAACUUUGAAAAAAUAGUUCAACACUUCUGAAGCCUACAGGAGAAAGGAGGAGACUGGUCGUCCGGCGCGGGAUUCACCGGCGGCUCGGCGGCGGCGUCCGGGUGUCCACUCCUCAGGGGAGCGGCUGACGCGGGCGGCGUCUUACUUUCCGGGAGCUAACCCCCGGUUCGCCGAAACCAACUCCCGGGAGGUGACCCUUGCAACCAUAACCGGCGGCUCGGCACAGACGG